rnacentral:piRNA from 1 species
UACCUACUUGACUCAGAAGUGCCUGUGAGGU